CUCCUCACUGAAAGCCUCUCGCCAUGCCCUCCCUCCCCGCAAUGGUCUCCCUCGCAGCACCGAGCCUCCCUCCCUUGCCGCGACGAUCUCCCUCGCCGCUCUCGUGUGCCCCUCCGUUACCGCGACGGUCUCCCACACAACCCCCGUGCGCCCUCCGUUGCCGCGACCAAGCUAGGUUUUCUCAUUAUGUUAUUUGUCUUGUCCUACUUGCUCUCUCUACUCGCUGCGCCCUCCCUCGCCAUGACGGUCUCUCUCGCCGCACUGAGCCUCUUCUCUUGCCGCGACGAAGUUAGGUUUUCCCGUUACGCCCUCCCUCGCCGCGACGAAACUAGGUUUUCUCAUUCUGUUAUUUGCCUUGUCCAACUUGCUCUCUCUAUAGAUUUCAAAUGUCAUGAAUUUCAGAGAUGGAAUUUUGUAACUUCAUUUUUUUGUAUAGAUAGGAGCAACAGAGUGAGAAAUUGCCAAUGGAGAUCUCUCUGUUUGACUUUUUUUUUCCCAAAACUUUGUUAGUGAGUUGCAGGAUGUGAGAGUUGCUGAAGACAAUGUCGCGUCUAAUGCUGCAUCAGUUAUUCUUUUAGGCUACAGACUUUCACAGAUAGUUGAUGCUGUAUCACUAGCCAAAGCGACAAUGGCAAGAGUUCACCAAAACUUGGCAUCGGCAGUGGCAUACAAUGUAGUCACCAUCCCCAUUGCUGUAGGCGUUUUGCUCCCAAAAUAUGAUUUUGUCAUGACACCAUCUCUUUCUGGGGAUUGAUGGCAUCGAGCUCAAUUUGCGUCGUUAGCAACUCAUUGCUGCUGCAGCUUCAUGGAUCAUCCUCUAAGAAAGAUAAUUGCUAAAGAGGAAAUGUCAGAAAAUAUUCUUCUCAGUGAACAUAAUAGUUGUAACAUAUUUUUGUUUGGGUCCAAUCAUAGAGGAUAUCUAAUGGAGUUGCUGAGUACAUCGAUUGUGGGUGAUU